rnacentral:snoRNA from 1 species
GUCUUCUUGUUGCACUCCUUUCUGUCUGUUGGUGACCAUUGAUUCACAAGAGAAGAGAGAAUUCAGAGAACUAGCAUCAUUUUGACUUCUGUCUUUGCAGGUGUGUAGUUGGCUGUUUUGUGAGACAUUC